UUGGGAUUCGACGGGGAUAGUUCGAGCGUAAGAAGCGAGUCGAGGGGUUGCGGCCUCGUUAAAACGCAUUCGCCAAAUGUAACUGGCAAACAAGAAAACUAUGCACUAGCUGCCUAAUAGAUGUAGCUAGGACUCACCUCUUCAUCGCCUGUGUGAAGUGGUAGAGUCUCAACUUAUAGCAGGCUAGCCAACUCGGUGGUCACAGACGAGAAGGCGAAUCUUUAUGUGACUGGUUCAAAGCAUCGCCUGUCACUGGA
rnacentral:misc_RNA from 1 species